GAUGAACGCUAGCUACAGGCUUAACACAUGCAAGUCGAGGGGAAACGACAUCGAAAGCUUGCUUUUGGUGGGUGUCGACCGGCGCACGGGUGAGUAACGCGUAUCCAACCUGCCCACCACUUGGGGAUAACCUUGCGAAAGUAAGACUAAUACCCAAUGAUAUCCCACGAAGGCAUCCGAAUGGGAUUAAAGAUUUAUCGGUGAUGGAUGGGGAUGCGUCUGAUUAGCUUGUUGGCGGGGUAACGGCCCACCAAGGCAACGAUCAGUAGGGGUUCUGAGAGGAAGGUCCCCCCACAUUGGAACUGAGACACGGUCCAAACUCCUACGGGAGGCAGCAGUGAGGAAUAUUGGUCAAUGGACGGGAGUCUGAACCAGCCAAGUAGCGUGCAGGAUGACGGCCCUAUGGGUUGUAAACUGCUUUUANGUGGGAAUAAAGUCAGGGACGUGUCCCUGUUUGCAUGUACCACAGGAAUAAGGGACCCGGCUAAAUUCCGUGCUAGCAGCCGCGGU
rnacentral:rRNA from 1 species